AACGAACGCUGGCGGCAGGCCUAAAACAUGCAAGUCGAACGCCCCGCAAGGGGAGUGGCGCACGGGUGAGUAACGCGUGGGAACGUGCCCUUCAGUACGGGACAACGUCGGGAAACUGACGCUAAUACCGUAUAAUAUCUCCGGAUCAAAGAUUUAUCGCUGAGGGAGCGGCCCGCGUCUGAUUAGCUAGUUGGUGAGGUAAUGGCUCACCAAGGCUACGAUCAGUAGCAGGUCUGAGAGGAUGAUCUGCCACACUGGGACUGAGACACGGCCCAGACUCCUACGGGAGGCAGCAGUUAGGAAUAUUGGACAAUGGGGGAAACCCUGAUCCAGCCAUGCCGCGUGUGUGAUGAAGGCCCUAGGGUUGUAAAGCACUUUCGUUGGGGAUGAUAAUGACGGUACCCGGAGAAUAAGUCCCGGCUAACUUCGUGCCAGCAGCCGCAGUAA
rnacentral:rRNA from 1 species